rnacentral:rRNA from 1 species
CACGUAGGGGGCGAGCGUUGUCCGGAUUUAUUGGGCGUAAAGAGCUCGUAGGCGGUUUCGUAAGUCGGAUGUGAAAGCUCCAGGCUCAACUUGGAGACGCCAUUCGAUACUGCGAUGACUUGAGUCCGGUAGGGGAGUGUGGAAUUCCUGGUGUAGCGGUGAAAUGCGCAGAUAUCAGGAGGAACACCGGCGGCGAAGGCGGCACUCUGGGCCUUACCUGACGCUGAGGCGCGAAAGCCAGGGAGGCGAAACAGG